UCCAGACUCCUACGGGAGGCAGCAGUGGGGAAUAUUGCACAAUGGGGGAAACCCUGAUGCAGCGACGCCGCGUGAGUGAAGAAGUAUUUCGGUAUGUAAAGCUCUAUCAGCAGGGAAGAUAAUGACGGUACCUGAGUAAGAAGCCCCGGCUAACUACGUGCCAGCAGCCGCGGUAAUACGUAGGGGGCAAGCGUUAUCCGGAUUUACUGGGUGUAAAGGGAGCGUAGACGGCAUGGCAAGUCUGAAGUGAAAGCCCGGGGCUCAACCGCGGGACUGCUUUGGAAACUGUUAAGCUGGAGUGCGGGAGAGGUAAGUGGAAUUCCUAGUGUAGCGGUGAAAUGCGUAGAUAUUAGGAGGAACACCAGUGGCGAAGGCGGCCUGCUGGACAUUAACUGACGCUGAGGCGCGAAAGCGUGGGGAGCAAACAGGAUUAGAUACCCCAGUACUC
rnacentral:rRNA from 1 species